rnacentral:rRNA from 1 species
CAGCCGUAAACUAUGCGCGUUAGGUGUAUCGGUGACCACGAGUCACCGAGGUGCCGAAGGGAAACCGUGAAACGUGCCGCCUGGGAAGUACGGUCGCAAGGCUGAAACUUAAAGGAAUUGGCGGGGGAGCACCACAACAGGUGGAGCCUGCGGUUUAAUUGGAUUCAACGCCGGACAUCUCACCGGAUAAGACAGCUGAAUGAUUGUCAAUCUGAAGGUUUUACAUGACUAGCUGAGAGGAGGUGCAUGGCGUAGACGUCU